UGAGUUUUCCAUCAGGCCAUGGACUCCAGCUCUCCUUCAGGUUGCCAUCUGUAAAAUGGGGGAGCUGGGCGGGCCGGCUUUUAAGGAUGCUUCUGGCCCCGGAGCUAGCCCUCCAGACCCGGACCCGCGAGGCCAGGAGCUGACCGAGGCUUGCGCGGCUUCUUGCCCGAGAAGACGCGGACUUCACGGGAGGAAGGACGCGUCGGUGACGAGAGGGAGCGCGGCCGGUGCUGAUAAGAGACCCAGCCCCGAGCAACACCCUCCCGCGGCACACACUCCGGGCAGUCCCUCAGUGCUCCUUCCCCGGGGCAGGGGAGGAAAUCCCCGGAGCUAUUUCAAUUACAUGGAUGACUGGGGAGCGCUUCGGUAUGAGAUGCUGAGGAUCGUUGGGGAAGAAGUGACUUGAUAUGAGAGGACCUAGAAUUGGAAAAGACCUUCUGGAGAUCAUCUAGUGAUGGGAUCAAGAAUUGGAAAGGGUCUUAAAUAUCUACGCCAACUCCCUCAAUUUAUCAAGGAAGAACUAGAUUUAAAACUCUGUUUGACUUUAUUGGGAAUGUCUUCAAGCACAGCUGUGCCUACUGACUGAUAGCUCUCUGCUUCUCACCAGGAGCUGGGCAGACAAGAAGGGAAAACGCUCGGGAAUUUCCUGGAUGUUCAAGAACCCCAGGAAAGGUGGGGAACCUGGGACUGGAGUGAAAAAGGAUCUUGUGAUGACAGAUGAUACCUGGAAGACUAGCUAAAGGUGAAGACAGCAGAGCCAGAGCCAAACAUCAGUUCUACUAAGUA